rnacentral:lncRNA from 1 species
AGCCGGAAUCUCCUUGGUUACUGGCCUAUGUGCCUAUAAGAAGCUGCCACAGAGUGCUGCAGGACAAAUAUGGGGAGUUUUCUCCUCCAGCAUUCCAUGCUGAUUUCCCUGUAAGCUUUUGGUGCAACUGGACCAUCUGGGCAGGCUCCAGGAAGCACAUAAUCAUUUAUAUCCAGGGAUUUGUCGCUAGGGAGGCGUGCAACAAAAAUGAAGACAAAAUUCUGUUUGAAGGAGUCUCCUCCCUGGUGGAAAACAGUGUUAUUUAUGCCUGCUGGAAAAAGGAGAUGCAUGUUUUUGCCACCUUUGCUCAGGCUGUCCAUGUUGUGCUGCUGAAGCGGUACUUGCCAAACCGGAGAGAUGCACAAUUUAAAGGGAAGUAUUACAUCUUCCAAGAACAGCAAGAUGAUGCAAUUUCUGGAACUUCUGUUUCAAAACUGCCAAAGAAAGGUGGUAUUUUUCAGUCUGGCUGGGUUGAAAACUUUAGAGAUCCACUGGGCUUUGCAACCACACGUGGCAGCACCACAGUGAGAAGCAGCAAGCUGAUGCAGGGAAGGGGGAUCACUCUGGACACCAUGGCUGUGGGAAGUCCUACAGAACUUAUCCUAGGUGAACAUGCAAGGACACAGGCUCUGGAAACAAAAGCUCUUUGUGGGCUGGGGGCUCAGGAAGUUCAAGGUAUUGGAGCACCUGAGGGAAUAAUCCCCACUGCAGCACAGGACAUCUGGGGGCAGAAUCCCUCUGUGGGUGAGGACAGCGCUGUGAGCUUUGGUCCUGUGCACAGCAUGCUUUUGGAAACUCCUUUGCUUGGUGCCUUCCAGGGAGCAGAACCUUUUUGGCAGCCAGCAGAUGUGAGUCUGGAGAGCAGACAGCCUGUCCUGAACCCUACACUGAGGCCAAAAGGUCUGGGCCACCUGCAGUUUACAAUUAAACCAACAGGCACGGGUCACCUGGACUUGGCUGCACACUCUGAGCCUCUGUCCCCAGGCACAGGACAAAGCCAGGAGGGCACAGGUCCCACCAGGGACAGCCAGCUCAGCACAGCCAGCCUGGAGAAGGAUGGUAGCCGUGCCCAGCUGAGUGUCCCAGCUGAUGGCCUCACUGAGGGCCUGAUGCCCAGCCUGAGGAGCCCCAAUGAUGUGGUCACCAGGGACCACUUGCAGCUGCUACCUGAGAGAAGCCAAAACAGUUUGGGGCAUUUGUGCAUGCCUAAACCUCAGCCAGGCACAACUGGCCUCCAACACACGAAGCUGGUAGAUGUUCUCCCACUGGGAUGUUCUAGGGGAGCUGUCAGGAGAACAGUGCUGCAUCCCACAGUGCCAGGGCUGGCUGUACCUGCUUUGGCAACAGGGCUGGAGCAUCCUCUCACACCUGUGCCUGCCCUGGGGACAGAAACCACCCCUGUGCUGGUGACCUCCUCUGCAGCACCUGUCCCUGCAGAUUUUGGCUAUCUGGAUUUAUUCCCUGAAGCGCCUCUUCCUCCACAAGUGGAGUCUGUGUCCAUGGUGGCCUCUCUCCCAGCUGCUCUGGAUCAGGAUCCUGUCAGUCUCAGGCAAAGGGACACCUCCCCAGCUAGCCCAGGAGGACAGGACAUGAUCUCCCCUUCACCACCCUGCUAUCCAUCAGUAGCCUCUGAACUGGGCACUAAUGGGUCCUCCAGAUACCUUGGCCCUGGGAUGCAAAAGUUGGUGCCUGAUGGACAGGCAGGUGGUCAGAGAGGCAAAACCACAGCCUCUGUGGGCUUGAUGGCCAGGAGUCCCUUCCCAGUCUUUGUCACUGUCCCAGGGCCUGGUGUGAGGCUUACUCAGCCUGAGGGCCAUGUCAGCAGUGGCUCUGGGGGGACACCAGCUUCCCUGGCUGGCACCAGAGAGGAGCACAAGGUGCCUGUGCAGCAUCAGCACAGUGCUGCUAGUGACAAACCAGCUUCUGCCUCCAACUUCAGGGGAUUUAACAUGCAGGGAACCACAGAAACCGUGCUAGUGGGUUCAGGGCAGAGGACAACUGCCUCCUUCAGCACCACUCCUGCACACCCUGAUCUGCCUGCAGCUCCAUGGGGAGAAACACUGCCAGGAGACCAGCAGCCUUGGGAGCCCUCUGAUGUACCCAGGAACACCCAGGUGCCAGAAGGACAGCCAGAGAAACAUGCUGAGCUGGGCCCUCCCUGGGUAACCGAGUACUUUCCCAUCAGGAGCUGCCACCUCAUCUUCCAGGGUGGGUCUGGCAUGUUUUACCUCCCUCUGCAUGCUGAACCCAACACCUGGUGCAACUGGACCAUCUGGGCAGGCCCCCAGAAGCACAUUGUCAUCUAUGUCCAAGGAUUCCAGGGGAGCGAUGGCUGUGGCAACAACCAGGACAAGAUCAUCUUCCAGGGGGGCUCGUCAAGCGUGGAAACCAAAGUGGUGUUUGCCUGCCACAACAGAGGCACUCUGAUCUUUGCUGCACAAGCCACCGAGGUCCAGGUGUUGUUUCUGUCAGGGAGUGGUUCCAGAAGCCAUGAAUACAGGUAUUUUAAAGGACAGUAUUAUGUAUUCAGGGACUCUGAAGCUGUGGGCUCUUCGAGUGAUACCCUAGCAGCUCCCCAAGAAACUGUCCAGGACACCUCUGGAAAAGAGAGCUGGAGGACAGUGGUGACCAAAGGUUUAUUGUCCAUGCUGACAGCUCCUCCAGGCCCAUCUGCUGGAGGCAGGAUCCAGCCUGACACUGUGAGCCCGGAAGAAGCAGCCCAGCGUUCUCCUGAUCUCAUGGAAGGUGGUCAGCCUGGUGCCAACCUGAGUGAGCAUGGUCAGGAUGAAACCAGGCUGGAAAGGAACCUUAAGGAUGGUGGCAGCAAGGGCAGAGAACCUGAAGAUGACAUGUUGGUGGAGCCAGCUCCAGCUGGGCAAGACACUGAGGGUAAAGCCGAGCCACCUGCCUUGGAGCUGACCACAGGGGACACAGAGCCAGGGGCUGCUCUGUCCACCAUGGUCCCAUGUCACCCAGCUGGCUCCCCUUGCUCAGAGAUGCCCAGCAGCAGAAUAGGUGUCUCUGACAAAUCACCUACGCUGGGUCAGGCCAGUGACAGCCCCUCAGAAGUGGCAGCUGCUGCACACCACACACAGACACCAGUGCUGGCACAGCCACCACUAGGCACCAGCACAAAAACACCUCUCUACCCCUCUCCUGGUGUGACUGCUGCUGACGUGGUGUCUCUGGGAGGAAGGACUGAAGACCUCUUUGGUCUGAUGUCAUCUGUGGAGAACAACACAGGAUUGCAAUCCCAGCACCAUCCUGGAGAUGUGCUGUUUGAAGUCACUAUUGAAAUCAAACCCAAGGACUGGAUUCCUCAUGGUGGAAGUGAGCUCCAAAAGGGUCUCCUUGAAUCUCUGAAGAAUCACAUCCGGAAGAACCUGAAGCUUUCUGCCAAUAGAGUCAGUGAAAUAAAGUUAAAGGAUGUCAAAAGGAGGAGUGAUGCCAACCUGCUGCUCACCUUCUGGCUGCACCUGGAGCCGGAGGAGAGGAACGUGUCUCUGCUCCUGCGCUCCCAGCUGCAGCAGCUGCUUGGCACCUCGGUGGGCGUGGAGAAGCUGCAGCUUGUUUCACUGUUUGUUGAAGAUGUGAACGAGUGCCAGGCUGGGGUUGGUCUCUGUGGGGAGGAGGCAGAGUGCCUCAAUGGCGUGGGCACCUACCUGUGCCGCUGCAAGAAGGGCUACGAGGAUCAUUCCCCCACCAAGUCCGGCACGCUGUGCAUCCGCGCUCCCCACCCAGGGAUCAGCGCCUUCCUCCGCCACGCUGACAUGCUGGUGGGGGCAGCCCUCGUGGCCGGCCUGGUGAUGCUGGUGGCCUUUGGUGCCCUCUGUGUCAUGGCCGUGUGGGGCCGGGCCCCCGGGAGGAGCCCGAGGCCUGAGGAGCCCCCGGUGGGGGCGGUGGAGGAGCCAGCCAUGGAGCUGCAUGACCUGGGGGAGUGCCUGCGCCUCGACCCCUUCCAGCUGAAGCUGAGGGCCAGGUCCCCCGAGUGGCUCUGGAGCCUCCGUGCCCACCCUGGCCCGGCAGGACUGACGGGUCUUCCCAGAGCAGCUCCCCCACCCUGAGGGGGUCCCGGGCCUCGGUGACCUGAGCAGUCACUCCAUCAUUUCUCAGGGGUUCUGACACAACCACUGGCUGUGCCAACACUUCUGCUGUGUUCUGUGGGCCAUGAAUAUCCCAAAACAGCGCUCUUCAUGUUGUAAUUGAAUUUUUUGCAAUGCUUGCUCAGCAUGGGGAAAAAAAUGUUUGCUGCAAGCUGCUGUACUUCUGCUGAUUUACCCUGCUCAAGACCUGCACAGGAGAAUUAAAAACUUUUUUUUUUAAGAAAAAAGGAAAUAAGACGUUUUGGUGCCUAAUAUAAAAUUAAAAAUUAUUCUGCAUCCUGCUCAGUGCUGCCUGCUUUCUUCUGCCCCCAAGGAAGAGCUUUAUGGGAAGCCUUGGCAGGACCUGAGGAUCUGUGGGGUAUUUCUUCCAGCCUGGCUGAGAAACAUCUCCAGAACUUAAAAUUCUGGUGAGAAACACAGUCAGGUUAUGGUCAGUGGGCCCCCACUCACAGAACGAUGAGGACAGCAUUUUUGGUGCUUGCAUGGAUGCUUGCUGCAAAAAGCCCACCACCAGCCCAUCGUCCUGGCAGAACAUAAAGCACAGCUCUCUUCCCAGCUUGUCCUGCAGCUGGAGCCCGGUAACUUCUCUGUUUGUCUUUCUGAGGGGGGUUUCAGUGGGAAUUCCCCCCUUUCCUGGGGAAGAAGCGUGCUCGGUGCGGUGCAGGUGCCCCA